GCUCGUGUAGCUCAGGGAGAGCGCAAGACUGAAGAUCUUGAGGUCCCUGGUUCGAUCUCGGGCGCGAGCA